UACGGAGGGUGCAAACGUUGCUCGGAAUUAUUGGGCGUAAAGCGCACGUAGGCGGAUUGUUAAGUCGGAUGUGAAAUCCCUCAGCUUAACUGAGGAAGUGCACUCGAAACUGGCAGUCUUGAGUAUGGAAGAGGGUCGCGGAAUUCCCGGUGUAGAGGUGAAAUUCGUAGAUAUCGGGAGGAACACCAGUGGCGAAGGCGGCCUCCUGGUUCAAUACUGACGCUGAGGUGCGAAAGCGUGGGGAGCAAACAGG
rnacentral:rRNA from 1 species